GCGGAGGAAAAGAAACCAACAGGGAUUGCCUCAGUAACGGCGAGUGAAGCGGCAAAAGCUCAAAUUUGAAAUCUAGCACCUUCGGUGUUCGAGUUGUAAUUUGAAGAUGGUAACCUUGGGUUUGGCUCUUGUCUAUGUUCCUUGGAACAGGACGUCAUAGAGGGUGAGAAUCCCGUCUGAUGAGAUGCCCAUUCCUAUGUAAGGUGCUAUCGAAGAGUCGAGUUGUUUGGGAAUGCAGCUCUAAGUGGGUGGUAAAUUCCAUCUAAAGCUAAAUAUUGGCGAGAGACCGAUAGCGAACAAGUACAGUGAUGGAAAGAUGAAAAGAACUUUGAAAAGAGAGUGAAAAAGUACGUGAAAUUGUUGAAAGGGAAGGGCAUUAGAUCAGACUUGGUGUUUUACGAUUAUCUUCUCUUCUUGAGUUGUGCACUCGUAUUUCACUGGGCCAGCAUCGAUUCGGAUGGCAAGAUAAUGGCAGUUGAAUGUGGCUUCACUUCGGUGGAGUGUUAUAGCUUCUGCUGAUAUUGCCUGUCUGGAUCGAGGGCUGCGUCUUUUGACUAGGAUGCUGGCGUAAUGAUCUAAUGCCGCCCGUCUU
rnacentral:rRNA from 1 species